AUGGUUCCCGGGUGCUUCCCCAACCACCUCGGUGCCUCCCCCCACAGCUCCCCACUGGGAUCCACCUCCCCAAGUCCUCAUGGGGUUACAGCAAGGUGGACCCCUUACAUGCAGGCUGAAUCCCACAGCUCAAGCCUGAGUCGCCCCCCCCCCACCGGGGACAGGUUGCCUGGCAACACCAGGCCCUCCCCCGCCCCAGCCCUGCCCAUUGUGACCUAUCCUUCACUCCUGCCUCCUGAGGGACAAAUGCACUUGGUUGUAACCCUGCCCUGGCCCUGGGUCCCCUUCCCCACCAUGGCCCAUGACCCUAGAGGGUCUUCUCCAUCCUUUGAGAGCCAGCUCCCCAUCCCAGGGUCCUGGACCCUGACUCCUGCCUGCCACGCUGCCUCGUACAUGGCCCUGAAUCCCAUCUUCCCGGUCACCAGCCGCGCUGCUGCUCCCCUUUUGCCGGCUCAGCGUGGCCAUCUCAUUCUCCGACUGCACGAGGGACGCUGCACCCCCGCCCCGGACCUCGCGUGGCCAAGGAUGAAGAAGCCCUCCUCAGCUGGGGCGCUGUGAGAACCUCCGCAAAGGACCGAGAGACCCAAGAAAAAGACCCCACGGGUCCAGCUUGACAAGACGUGGCGGUUAAGGGGACCCACGGUCAGAAGUGCGUCCCGGCGGUGCUACCUCCCCUGACACGUGCCUCCGAGGCCUCUGGAGCCCCCAGGAGACCCAGUGGGGUGGCGGGCUAUGCCCCUGAGGACCGUGGCGACAAGAGGUGGACGGGAAGGAGACUCAGAAGGAAGCACAGAGCUGCUACUCUAUAAAAGGAGAAUCCAACUCGAUCCACAAACACCAGUGGAGCCCUGCCCAGGGCCAAGGGCCCACCUGCCUGGCGUCUUCCAGUUGAGAAAUGAGGUCGGUGACCCGAGUGUGGGCUCUGCCCCUGCAGGGUGGAGUCGGACGUAUAAACCAACACUCCCAUCUGACCUUUGGGAGAUGCAUGUCCCAGCCCCCAGGGGCUGCUCCAUGGAAAGGACUAGAGAAACUGAAAGAGGGUUUGGCUGCUUCCACUCUGACCUCAAACUUUCUGGAUGGGUUCUUCUUUCCAGGAGGUCUCCAGGCUUAGGCAAAAGACCCUGA
rnacentral:lncRNA from 12 species